rnacentral:misc_RNA from 1 species
UUUCCGUAGGUGAACCUGCGGAAGGAUCAUUAUUGUAUAACCGAGGUGCGAGGGCUGUCGCUGACCCGACAGGUCGUGCACGCCCGAGUGCCCUCACGCGCACCCAUCUCACCCCUAUGUGCACCACCGCGUGGGUCCCCCUUUGGCUUGUUCGGAGGGGGGCUUACGUUUUCACACAAACUUUGUAUGCAGUGUAGAAUGUAUUUUUUGUUUUUGCGAUCACGCAAUCAAUACAACUUUCAACAACGGAUCUCUUGGCUCUC